UCGACGCCCCGCUGAGGCCAGAUGUGGGCGGAUGUGGAGGUCGGGCGGCGGCGCGGGGGCGGCGCCGAGGGGGGAAGAGAUUCCUCCCCUUCCCUGGGGCGCAGGGUUCCUUCUGCGGGAGGUUUUAUUUACGCAGCCAAACAAAGUUCGCCGCCGCCUUCCCGCGCGCAGCGCCUCCAAGGGUUAAGCGCUCGGACUGGCGGCCGGCAGGAGCCCAGCCUGUUGGCCAAGAGCCGAGGGGCGAGCGCCAGUCACGUGACCCGGGGCGGGGAGGGGGGCGCCAAAUCCUACCCUCUUGGGGCACCUCUCCAGCUGCUCCCUACCCCCAGCCCACCGCCCCCGAGGUCGCUGCUGCACCCUCGGGGGCGGUGUCAGAAAAGGCGCUGGCCCACCGGGGACGCGGGGCAGGGACGGAACACCCUUGUCAGAACCGCCAGGGACACGUGCCACUCCAACGCUGCACAACAAGGGGCUUCCUGAAGGCAGAGCGUAGACCCCGUGUUCUCCCUGCUUAUCUCCUCAGGGAGCCCAGCCAGGGUGCAUGCCUCACCAAAAUGCUCCCCUGUGGGAACCCAAAGGACAAUGGCAGGAGGGAGCGGACCUCCGAGGCCAGAACGUUGGCCGGACUGUGCUCCAGACCCCGUCCAGUCCAUCCCCCUGCCUGCCUCUGGCCCCCCUUCACUUAACCACUGAGGCUGCCGUUGCCAGGCCUAGACACCUCCAGAGGAGAUGGGAAACAGCUGGGCACCACCCUUCGAGUAAUAAUUACCUCCUCCAAACUCGAAGACAAUCCAGUUGCUCCUUGGCCUUCUCUUCCUCAGCUUAAAUCAUCUGUCCCCGGCCCUUUAAUCAUCCCCCAUCCUUUGAUCACUCUGAUGACUGUGUCCAAAGUGGGGCUCCAGGACUUUAAUAAGGCCUGAUCCCUGUAGGAUGGGGAGGGUGCCCUGACCCCCUGUCCCAGGGCAUGAGCAGUCAGGGCCGGGGUCUGGACAGACAAUCCUGGUAGGGGCGCUGGGCAGAUAAGAUCAGCAGCAGCAGAAAAGGGAAGAAAAUGAGCUUAAAUUUGGCGAGAGCAAAAGAACUGCAAUGCGUCCAAAUUCUGUGAUGGUGCGCUCUCCCAAGGCCACGGGGGAAGGCAAGACCGUUUGUAGGCCUGGCCCAAGGGGAAGGUGUGAUCAGGGGAACAUCAGAGGGGCCACCUACCUCACAGGUCCACCAUAAGACAUGUAGUGGGGUGCAUGGUGGGCCCCCCAAAAGCUAUGUCCAUUCCGAACCUCAGAAUGAGACCUGACUUGGUGUAAGGAUCUUUGCAGACGAAUGAAGCUAAGGGUCUUGAGACAAGAUCACCCUGGAUUAGAGUGAGCCCUGAAUCCAAUGACCAGUGUCCUUAUAGAGACCAAAAAGGAGAAGACACAGAGGCGCAGAGAAAAGGGCCUCGUGAAAUCAGAGGCAGGGAUGGGAGUGACGCAGCCGCAAAUCAAGUAACACUUGGGACCCCAGAAGCUGGAAGCAGCAGGACGCUUCCCCAGAGCCUCCGGAGACAGCUUGCCCUGCUGACACCUUGAGUUCAGGCUCCUGGUCUCCAACUGAGGGAGAAUAAUUUUUUGUCCUGUUAAGCCCCUCCCAGUUUGUGGUUCUUUGUUACGGCAGCCCCAGGACACUCCUACAGACCUUAAACUCCCAUCUGAAUCAUCCCUUCAGGCCAAAGCUGCCUCUCCCAAAGAUGUCUCAAAGCCCCAAAUCCUGCAGUCGGCAGUGAACGCUGGCCAGCAGGUGGCAGUCCCGAGGGGGCUCGGGGGCACUCAGCAAGUUUUCAUCAGAAAAGCUGGAGGCCAGGGCUGGGUGAGAAAGGUAUAAAUAUGAAGCCUUUCUGGAGAUGGAAGGAGCAGGCCUGAAGGGAAACCCCACAGG